GCCUAACACAUGCAAGUCGAGCGGCAGCACAAGUAAGUUUACUUAUGAGGUGGCGAGCGGCGGACGGGUGAGUAAUGCCUAGGGAUCUGCCCAGUCGAGGGGGAUAACAGUUGGAAACGACUGCUAAUACCGCAUACGCCCUACGGGGGUAAGAGGGGGACCUUCGGGCCUCUCGCGAUUGGAUGAACCUAGGUGGGAUUAGCUAGUUGGUGAGGUAAUGGCUCACCAAGGCGACGAUCCCUAGCUGUUCUGAGAGGAUGAUCAGCCACACUGGGACUGAGACACGGCCCAGACUCCUACGGGAGGCAGCAGUGGGGAAUAUUGCACAAUGGGGGAAACCCUGAUGCAGCCAUGCCGCGUGUGUGAAGAAGGCCUUCGGGUUGUAAAGCACUUUCAGUAGGGAGGAAAGGGUGAGUCUUAAUACGGCUCAUCUGUGACGUUACCUACAGAAGUAGGACCGGCUAACUCCGUGCCAGCAGCCGCGGUAAUACGGAGGGUCCGAGCGUUAAUCGGAAUUACUGGGCGUAAAGCGUGCGCAGGC
rnacentral:rRNA from 1 species